ensembl:lncRNA
GGAGAAGGUCCUUGGCCCAGUGUCUGUGGGGUCCACCUGGGAGGAAUCGGUGACUGGUGCCAGGAAUUGGUGGGCUGCUUCUAAACGGAGAGGAGCACGGACUGGCAGGGCGUGGACCACCCACGCUGGCAUCUGGAACAGGAGCCCAAGGGCAGCGUGGCAAGGAUGAGGAGAUAACAGGAGACACAGGAGCCUGGGGGGCCUCAUCUCCUGUGACGACGGCCUGGAUGUCACUCCUCCCUUCAGGGAGGAACAGGUUCAGAGGGUGUGGACUCGCCCCGCAUCACACAGCCACUGAAGGGUGGGAGCAAAGUUCCCGUCUGAGGGUCUGCCUCUGAGCCCUUUGGCCCCCCACCCCAGGGCUGGGGGAGGAGCUCGCGUAGGGAACCUCAGAAAGUGCUACAGAACUGACAGA